UGGCUCACCAAGGCGUCGACGGGUAGCCGGCCUGAGAGGGUGACCGGCCGCACUGGGACUGAGACACGGCCCAGACUCCUACGGGAGGCAGCAGUGGGGAAUAUUGCACAAUGGGCGCAAGCCUGAUGCAGCAACGCCGCGUGAGGGAUGACGGCCUUCGGGUUGUAAACCUCUUUUAGCAGGGAAGAAGCGAAAGUGACGGUACCUGCAGAAAAAGCGCCGGCUAACUACGUGCCAGCAGCCGCGGUAAUACGUAGGGCGCAAGCGUUAUCCGGAAUUAUUGGGCGUAAAGAGCUCGUAGGCGGUUUGUCGCGUCUGCUGUGAAAUCCGGAGGCUCAACCUCCGGCCUGCAGUGGGUACGGGCAGACUAGAGUGCGGUAGGGGAGAUUGGAAUUCCUGGUGUAGCGGUGGAAUGCGCAGAUAUCAGGAGGAACACCGAUGGCGAAGGCAGAUCUCUGGGCCGUAACUGACGCUGAGGAGCGAAAGGGUGGGGAGCAAACAGGCUUAGAUACCCUGGUAGUCCACCCCGUAAACGUUGGGAACUAGUUGUGGGGUCCAUUCCACGGAUUCCGUGACGCAGCUAACGCAUUAAGUUCCCCGCCUGGGGAGUACGGCCGCAAGGCUAAAACUCAAAGGAAUUGACGGGGACCCGCACAAGCGGCGGAGCAUGCGGAUUAAUUCGAUGCAACGCGAAGAACCUUACCAAGGCUUGACAUAUACGAGAACGGGCCAGAAAUGGUCAACUCUUUGGACACUCGUAAACAGGUGGUGCAUGGUUGUCGUCAGCUCGUGUCGUGAGAUGUUGGGUUAAGUCCCGCAACGAGCGCAACCCUCGUUCUAUGUUGCCAGCACGUAAUGGUGGGAGCUCAUGGGAUACUGCCGGGGUCAACUCGGAGGAAGGUGGGGAUGACGUCAAAUCAUCAUGCCCCUUAUGUCUUGGGCUUCACGCAUGCUACAAUGGCCGGUACAAAGGGCUGCAAUACCGCGAGGUGGAGCGAAUCCCAAAAAGCCGGUCCCAGUUCGGAUUGAGGUCUGCAACUCGACCUCAUGAAGUCGGAGUCGCUAGUAAUCGCAGAUCAGCAACGCUGCGGUGAAUACGUUCCCGGGUCUUGUACACACCGCCCGUCAAGUCAUGAAAGUCGGUAACACCUGAAGCCGGUG
rnacentral:rRNA from 1 species